rfam:Salmo salar isolate Sally breed double haploid chromosome ssa04, whole genome shotgun sequence.
UGGCUCAGUUGGUAGAGCAUGGUGUUUGCAGCACCAGGCUUGUGGGUUCGAUUCCCAC